CUGCAGAAUAAGAAGAAAAAAGCUCAUCUCAAAAAAAUCACUGGAUUCCAGUUUGGGUGGGGAAGUUCAUCAAAGGUGCUCAUCACAUCAGCAGAUUCUCGAAUCCGAGUUAUUGAUGGUGUUGAUUUGGUUCACAAGUUCAAAGGGUUUCGUAACACCAACAGCCAAAUCUCAGCCUCCCUCACGGCAAAUGGGAAACAUGUAGUCUCUGCUAGUGAGGAUUCGUAUGUGUAUGUGUGGAAGCAUGAGUCUGAUUCUCGACCUUGCGGAAGCAAAGGGGUUACAGUCACGCAUUCGUACGAGCAUUUCCACUGUCAAGACGUGUCUGUGGCCAUCCCAUGGCCUGGUGU
rnacentral:misc_RNA from 1 species